GCGUACUAGGCUCAUAACCUAGGGGUCGGUGGAUCGAAACCACUCUCCGCUACUUUUUUUUCAUCAAAUUGC
rnacentral:tRNA from 1 species